rnacentral:rRNA from 1 species
UGGUGGAGUGAUUUGUCUGGUUAAUUCCGAUAACGAACGAGACUCUAGCCUAUUAAAUAGCGUUUGCCGCUCACCUUCGGUGUUAGUGGCAAGACUUCUUAGAGGGACAGGCGGCGAUUCAGCCGCACGAAACAGAGCAAUAACA